GAGAGAGGCUUACAGCAACGAAGACUGCUAAUCUUCGCCAAUCCUUGGUUUGACUCCGAGGCUCUUUCA
rnacentral:tRNA from 1 species